rnacentral:misc_RNA from 1 species
AAUUCUCAUUUUUCUCCUCAUUCUUCUCCUCCAUCAAAACAGCGUCGUCCACCGCUAUAGCAUCGUACCUUCCUUUACCUCCAGACCAAAAAGAUCUAAGUGGGUACCUAAACGAAAAACCCCAUGACUUAUUCCUACAAGAAGAUGUCUUUUCCACAGACAUCGACGAACGUCCAACCGCCGAUGUACUAAACUGGGUGGAACGUACAUCUAAACCUCCGGCAAUGGCUAUAGGCCCCGCCAUACCCUGUAUCCCUCCUCCUGUCAAACAAAGACCAUCCAUUUCUAAAACCCCUUUUCAAAUCCUACAAAGUUAUUCACAAAUUCUUAUUCAAUCAAAUAAAUAAAGCUACAAGAAAGAGUUCAAG